UCCUGGGUAGCUCAGCUGGUAAAGAACCUGCCUGAAAUGCAGGAGACCCUUGUUCAAUUCCUGGGUCAGGAA
rnacentral:tRNA from 1 species